GACGAACGCUGGCGGCGUGCUUAACACAUGCAAGUCGAACGGAAAGGCCCUGCUUUUGUGGGGUGCUCGAGUGGCGAAAGGGUGAGUAACACGUGAGUAACCUGCCCUUGACUUUGGGAUAACUUCAGGAAACUGGGGCUAAUACCGGAUAGGAGCUCCUGCUGCAUGGUGGGGGUUGGAAAGUUUCGGCGGUUGGGGAUGGACUCGCGGCUUAUCAGCUUGUUGGUGGGGUAGUGGCUUACCAAGGCUUUGACGGGUAGCCGGCCUGCGAGGGUGACCGGCCACAUUGGGACUGAGAUGCGGCCCGGACUCCUACGGGAGGCAGCAGUGGGGAAUAUUGCACAAUGGGCGGAAGCCUGAUGCAGCAACGCCGCGUGCGGGAUGACGGCCGUCGGGUUGUAAACCGCUUUCGCCUGUGACGAAGCGUGAGUGACGGUAAUGGGUAAAGAAGCACCGGCUAACUACGUG
rnacentral:rRNA from 1 species